UGAGGAAUAUUGGUCAAUGGCCGAGAGGCUGAACCAGCCAAGUAGCGUGCAGGACGACGGCCCUACGGGUUGUAAACUGCUUUUGCGGGAGGAUAAAGUGCACUACGUGUAGUGCUUUGCAGGUAUCCCGUGAAUAAGGACCGGCUAAUUCCGUGCCAGCAGCCGCGGUAAUACGGAAGGUCCGGGCGUUAUCCGGAUUUAUUGGGUUUAAAGGGAGCGUAGGCUGGAGAUUAAGCGUGUUGUGAAAUGCCGCGGCUCAACCGUGGCACUGCAGCGCGAACUGGUUUCCUUGAGUGCGCUGAAAGUGGGCGGAAUUUGUGGUGUAGCGGUGAAAUGCUUAGAUAUCACGAAGAACUCCGAUUGCGAAGGCAGCUCACUGUAUCGCGACUGACGCUGAAGCUCGAAAGUGCGGGUAUCGAACAGGAUUAGAUACCCUGGUAGU
rnacentral:rRNA from 1 species